rnacentral:lncRNA from 1 species
GGGAGGUUAUGAUACGAGCCAUUAUUUGAACCCUGAAAUUGCAUAAAAACAAAAAAGUGAAAUUAUUCAAGCCUAUCGAUAAAUCAACAGGUUAUAGGUCAUUGAAUGAUUUAGGUCAAGUUUGGUUUUAAUUGGCCCAGUUGUUUUUGAGGAGAGGAUUUUGGUAAAAGAUUACAAAAUUUACGAAAAAUUGUGAAACAAUUACUUUAAAAGACAAUAGCUUCCUUAUGGGUCAAUUUGCAAUUUUGGUCAUGUUGACUUAAUUGUAAAUACUACUUUGCUACCGUUUUUGCUGUUUACAGUUUAUCUUUAUCAAUGAUAAUAUUACU